AUUAAUAUAGUUUAAAAUAAAACCCUGCCUUUUCAAGACAAAAUUAGGAAAACCCUUAUUAAUA
rnacentral:tRNA from 1 species